UCAACGCUGCUCGUAGCUGGGAAAUCUGCUCAGAGUGGCCUUGUCUUUUGUGUAAUCUCUUUAUUUUGCGUUUAGUGUGGAUAACAUCUCUAGUGAUCUAGGGGUUAGUCUUCCUUGUUUUUUUCAAUCGAAUGGGAACAAACCUUUCUAUACAGCUGUUAAUUAUUGAUUUCAAUUUCUGCCACAAACAAUCAACUGACUCGCUAUCAGAGACUUGCUUGAAAUCAUCAAAAGCAGUUUCCAAAAAGUCUAAUAUUGACGUGUCAUCUGCCCGGCCGUAAUGGCCACUCUUCG